UUCUAGAGAGAUUGUGGCGGCAUCCUUGUCCAUAUUGGUUCUUGAAUCGGAGUCGUUCUCGGUGGAUAACGAAUUUGUGAGACACAGUCGUACAGAAGAAUUAUUGCGCUGCAAUGCCAGGUAUGUAGUUGAAUAGUCGUUGGAUCAAGAUGCUUUUGUCCUAAUUUUGGCGAUGCCUAGGCACUAUGCUAAUUUGUCUUCCUUAGUUUGCUCUUCCUUGCAAUAUGUUUAUGUUGGAAUUAGAGCUUGGGGCUGAACAGAGUUGCAUCUAUGAGCGUCCACUGCAGAUUCUGCAACGCGGUAAGUUCGACUUAGUUCCUUUGUUUCCCAUGCUAAUAAUCUUAAUCGCUGAAGAACUUUAAGACGCGAAGUGAAAUGUAAAUCUGAAACACCAUCAGUUCAGUUUCUCGAUCAUUCUGUUUAAUAAUAGGAUAUUGCCACUGUCAGUUAUCAAUAUCUCGUUACACCAUCACAUCACUAGUGAGCUGUGAAGUGGUAUUAUGGCACCCAAAGUAUGAUAAGAAAAUUUUCUGUGCCAAGAGUAGUUGGUUCAUUGGUUGCCCCAAACUAACAAUAAUCUUUCUACGUCAACUGCUAAACCUUCUUCUCUCAGAGUUACUCAAGUAACAUAUAGAUCCUAAGAUAUGUGAUUUGGCCAAGUGCGUAGAGGUUUGCCAAAUUUUCCGUGCGCUUUAUGCCUCGCUAAGCCAUUUUCCUUGUUUCCUUACACUAAUCGUGUCAUCUCAGCCGUAUGUAAUCAUUAAUUUGAUCACUGUUUACUAUUGGGCAUGAAAGGUACCAUUUCAUUUCGUGACUAAAAGGCUAUUAAUAUGUCAGAUGAGUGACAUCUGUACUACUCAAUCGUGCACCCUCCACAUGCUAGGAAAGAACAAACCAUUUAUUUCUGGUGGGGCAACCAUGUUCCCUUGAGUGUUGUUUACUUUAUGUUAGUCUAAAGAUUGAAAGGAACCUAAAUUCUUGAAAGGGAAUGGAAGCUCGCAAUUGCUCCAUAGAUUAUUAAGCUCUUUUUUAAACAGAAAUCAGGGCAAUGGUGUAUCAAGAGAAAAUAAGCUUAGUACUAUUACAAAAUGAACAGAUUGAAAAAUAAUGGUGCUUGUGGCCUGUGGGAUUAACAAAUGACCAUUGUUCCCCGUGUCAGUGAUGCACUAAUGGUAUUUUCCAUCUUGAGUGAUCUUUGGAUCGGUAUUCUGUAUAGAGAGAAUUAGUCUAUUGGGAUUCUAGGAAGCCUUUUGUUUUCUUUGUUGUUGUUGUUUUAGCUUCUAAGGACAAAAAUCAUUGAGCACACGCAUUCAGAAGUGGAGUCUAUCAAUUCAAAAAUUCUUGAUCCCUGUGCAUGUUGAUGCUUGGUCAUGGGAUACGUAAGGUCGAAAAAAGGACCUAUUAUUGGUGCUUCUCAGCGUAGUGUGAAGUGUCCAUGAUGUCGAUGAUUAGGUGCACUUCCAGCCGGCAGGCUCACCACCUCGAUGGCUCCUCCACCAGUCCACCUGUUCAAAGGAGGGAAAGGGGAUUCAGAAAUUCCAUUGGAGAGGGGGUCCACUGCACUGGGCCUCAACCAUUAAAUCCCACUUUUGUGGAAAUGCCAUUCUUUGGUGGUAUCGAUUUAUUCUCCAUUGUGGAGCGCCACUAAAUAUGCAUGGUACAUUCCCUCUUGAUUCCGAAGAAUUGUUUGUAGACUGAUUAACAGUAUAUUACAUGGUACUUUUCUCUUUUUGCAUUUUAUUACCUGUGACAAUAUGAGGCAGAACUGAUUCAGUUAGAUGCAUGGAAGUGAUUUUUAACUUGAACUGAAGAAUUAGGAGAUAAAGCUUGAUAAGCACGAAGUAGUGGCAAAACAGGAAGGCCACACUCCCCAAUCUCCAUGUUCUAAAAAGUGCAUCUCAAAAGAGGAGAUUGCCUCUUCAACUUUUUGUAAAAGGUACCUUUAUUUUUGUAUCGUGGGUCUGUAGAUUUUGUCUCCAGGUAAAAUUUGAGUACCGUCAUCUGUUGGUAAAGAUUGGUUUUGUUGGGGUUAAGCCUCAGGUUGGUUGUUAGACACUUAAUUGCUAAGCAAUUGGGUGGCAAGUAAGAUGGAUAGUCAGGUUCCAAUUUUUUACAGCAAGCAUGGCAAUUGAUCAAAAGCUGCUACCAAAUUAUUACCAGUAAAAAGGUAAGUGAGAUUAGUAUAGAGGCUGUCUUAACUUUUACCAGCAUGAAUGCCUUGGAUGGCUAGAUGCUGUACAUUUACACUCAGUAAACAAGGAUUGGAAUGGAGAAUUGUCAGCAGAAGGAAUAGCUGCAGAAUUGAUAUUUGGUGAGACAGGAAUAGCAUGGAUAGGGAUUUCAGACAUUGCCACGCGCCGCACACACUUGUUCUAAGUUCUUACAAGACUUUUGCCGCAUCAACACCCUGCCGGCUACAAGGCAGGUGAAAGGAUUCCUCUCCUCUCCUAUCCUGCAAUCCUCUGCCCUGCCUCCCCUGCAGAUCAUGGAGGCUGCUUGGCAGGAGCGUCUCCAUGGUUCUUGAGAGCUGCGUAAGUAAUACAGCAGUAUAAGGAUGGAGGACAAUGGCUGAGCUGGGCUCCUCCUCCUCAUCAAUCAUCAGUUUGCAUUUGCCCAUGCCUCUCAUGGCCUUCUUCCCUGGCUUCCAGUUCCAGAUGGCUCGGUGAGGCGUGGACAGAAACCGGCAAGUCAGAAAUCGGCAAUGGUGAGCUCCUACAGGAGCCUACUCCUUAUUUACCAGUUUUAAGUUUUCCCUUUUCCUGUUGUUCCUCGUUUUCCUUCGUUCCUUCUUCUUUUUUUUUCUUACCUUAAAGUUGUAUCUGGUUGGAGCAGAAGAUUUCAUUAGAAGUCUUGCUUUCUGGAGAUAGUGCUUUUAUGUUUGUUUUAGAUUAUCCUACUUGAACUGCUCGUGUCCCUCGUAAAGAUGGCAUGUGACCUUGUAUUGUCGAAUCUGCAACCUAAGGUCAAAAAAAAAAAGAAUCUGCAACCUUGUUUGAUCUCC